GAUGAACGCUGGCGGCGUGCCUAAUACAUGCCAGUCGAGCGAACAGACGAGGAGCUUGCUCCUCUGACGUUAGCGGCGGACGGGUGAGUAACACGUGGAUAACCUACCUAUAAGACUGGGAUAACUUCGGGAAACCGGAGCUAAUACCGGAUAAUAUAUUGAACCGCAUGGUUCAAUAGUGAAAGACGGUUUUGCUGUCACUUAUAGAUGGAUCCGCGCCGCAUUAGCUAGUUGGUAAGGUAACGGCUUACCAAGGCAACGAUGCGUAGCCGACCUGAGCGGGUGAUCCGCCACACUGGAACUGAGACACGGUCCAGACUCCUACGGGAGGCAGCAGUAGGGAAUCUUCCGCAAUGGGCGAAAGCCUGACGGAGCAACGCCGCGUGAGUGAUGAAGGUCUUCGGAUCGUAAAACUCUGUUAUUAGGGAAGAACAAAUGUGUAAGUAACUAUGCACGUCUUGACGGUACCUAAUCAGAAAGCCACGGCUAACUACGUG
rnacentral:rRNA from 1 species